UACGUAGGGUGCGAGCGUUGUCCGGAAUUAUUGGGCGUAAAGAGCUCGUAGGCGGUCUGUCGCGUCGGUCGUGAAAACUUGGGGCUUAACCCUGAGCUUGCGGUCGAUACGGGCAUGACUGGAGUUCGGCAGGGGAGACUGGAAUUCCUGGGUGUAGCGGUGGAAUGCGCAGAUAUCAGGAGGAACACCGGUGGCGAAGGCGGGUCUCUGGGCAGUAACUGACGCUGAGGAGCGAAAGCGUGGGGAGCGAACAGG
rnacentral:rRNA from 1 species